rnacentral:rRNA from 1 species
CACGGGGGGAGCAAGCGUUGUUCGGAAUCACUGGGCGUAAAGAGCGUGUAGGCGGUUAGGUAGGUCCGUUGUGAAAACUCGAGGCUCAACCUCGAGACGCCGAUGGAAACCAUCUAACUAGAGUCCGGAAGAGGAGAGUGGAAUUCCUGGUGUAGCGGUGAAAUGCGCAGAUAUCAGGAAGAACACCCGUGGCUAAGGCGGCUCUCUAGUACGUGACUGACGCUGAGACGCGAAAGCGUGGGGAGCGAACAGG